UUUUUUUUGUUAAUAGUAUGCCCUGUACACUGUGCUGGAUGCGCCCUAUGACUUCUCCAUCAAAGACAUGCCAAACUUGAGAAACUGGUGGUGCGUCAUGUUAAUGGAGAAUCUGGAACUUGGCAGUUAUGGAAAAAUGUUUGCCCAUUGGACGGAGUCCUCCAAGGCCCUCUUACGAGGUGACGUGUCUCCAGUUUUUAGACUGAAG